rnacentral:rRNA from 1 species
UACGGAAGGUGCGAGCGUUAAUCGGAAUUACUGGGCGUAAAGCGCACGUAGGUGGUUUUAUAAGUCGGAUGUGAAAGCCCCGGGCUUAACCUGGGAAUUGCAUCCGAGACUGUCUGACUUGAGUAUGCUAGAGGGAAGUGGAAUUCCAGGUGUAGCGGUGAAAUGCGUAGAUAUCUGGAGGAACACCAAUGGCGAAGGCAACUUCCUGGGGCAAUACUGACACUGAUGUGCGAAAGCGUGGGGAGCGAACAGG